rnacentral:rRNA from 1 species
UGCUAUUUUGACUCCUCUUUCCCNAUCUUGACUGAUCUCAGAAACAAAGUAAGAUCAGGCUUGGUUAGUACUUUCAUGGGAGACUGCUUGGGCAUAUCAAGAUAAUGUAGACU